AUUGAACGCUGGCGGCAUGCCUUACACAUGCAAGUCGAACGGUAACAGGUCUUCGGAUGCUGACGAGUGGCGAACGGGUGAGUAAUACAUCGGAACGCGCCUAGUAGUGGGGGAUAACUACUCGAAAGAGUGGCUAAUACCGCAUGAGAUCUACGGAUGAAAGCAGGGGAUCGCAAGACCUUGUGCUACUAGAGCGGCCGAUGGCAGAUUAGGUAGUUGGUGGGAUAAAAGCUUACCAAGCCGACGAUCUGUAGCUGGUCUGAGAGGACGAUCAGCCAGACUGGGACUGAGACACGGCCCAGACUCCUACGGGAGGCAGCAGUGGGGAAUUUUGGACAAUGGGCGAAAGCCUGAUUCAGCAAUGCCGCGUGCAGGAUGAAGGCCUUCGGGUUGUAAACUGCUUUUGUACGGAACGAAAAGCCCCGGGUUAAUACCCUGGGGUCAUGACGGUACCGUAAGAAUAAGCACCGGCUAACUACGUGCCAGCCGCCGCCGUAA
rnacentral:rRNA from 1 species